UCCCCGGGCUCANCCUGGGAACUGCGUUCUAAACUGGGUGACUAGAGUGUGUCAGAGGGAGGUAGAAUUCCACGUGUAGCAGUGAAAUGCGUAGAGAUGUGGAGGAAUACCGAUGGCGAAGGCAGCCUCCUGGGAUAACACUGACGUUCAUGCCCGAAAGCGUGGGUAGCAAACAGGAUUAGAUACCCUGGUAGUCCACGCCCUAAACGAUGUCGAUUAGCUGUUGGGCAGCAUGACUGCUUAGUAGCGAAGCUAACGCAUGAAAUCGACCGCCUGGGGAGUACGGUCGCAAGAUUAAAACUCAAAGGAAUUGACGGGGACCCGCACAAGCGGUGGAUGAUGUGGAUUAAUUCGAUGCAACGCGAAGAACCUUACCUGGUCUUGACAUGUACGGAACCCUCCAGAGACGGAGGGGUGCCUUCGGGAGCCGUAACACAGGUGCUGCAUGGCUGUCGUCAGCUCGUGUCGUGAGAUGUUGGGUUAAGUCCCGCAACGAGCGCAACCCUUGUCAUUAGUUGCCAUCAUUAAGUUGGGCACUCUAAUGAGACUGCCGGUGACAAGCCGGAGGAAGGUGGGGAUGACGUCAAGUCCUCAUGGCCCUUAUGACCAGGGCUUCACACGUCAUACAAUGGUCGGUACAGAGGGUAGCCAAGCCGCGAGGUGGAGCCAAUCUCACAAAACCGAUCGUAGUCCGGAUUGCACUCUGCAACUCGAGUGCAUGAAGUCGGAAUCGCUAGUAAUCGCAGGUCAGCAUACUGCGGUGAAUACGUUCCCGGGUCUUGUACAC
rnacentral:rRNA from 1 species